rnacentral:lncRNA from 1 species
AUCAGUAAUAAUAAAUUUAUCUCCUCCAUAUACUAAUCCCAAGGUUUUAUUAAGGAUUUUCAAAAUCAUAAGAGGGACGUCACGCCCCUCAUACAGGAUACCUCAAAAUCACCAGGAUGGAGGACUAACUUAGGAUUACAAAGCUCACCCGGCAAUUCGCUCAGAUCACCUCUAUGACACAUAAAUUUACCAUCACACAGGCUCCACAAAACAUAAAAAUAGUGUUACACAGGAUUGCUAAGGGUGUUCUCGAGGACACACUUAGGAGGCUUACAUGAUUACAAGGUUCACUCAGCAAUUCGCUCAGAUCACCCCAGCAUUACAUCACAUUAUUUAUUUUAUUUUAUUAUUUAUUUUAUUUUAUUUUAUUAUUUAUUUUAUUAUUUAUUUUAUUUUAUUAUUUAUUUUAUUAUUUAUUUUAUUUUAUUAUUUAUUUUAUUAUUUAUUUUAUUUUAUUUUAUUAUUUAUUUUAUUAUUUAUUUUAUUUUAUUAUUUAUUUUCUCCCACGCGCGCGUUUUGUCAUGUCAGCAAAAUUGACCUCUGCUAAAAUGAGUUUGCUCACCUCUACUGAAAUGAGUUUGCGGUGAACUCCAAAGGUGUGUAUGGUGUAUGAUUACAAACUUGUGGAUGUUGUGUGGGAACUAAAACAUGUAAUGCUGGGGUGAUCUGAGCGAAUUGCUGAGUGAACCUUGUAAUCAUGUAAGCCUCCUAAGUGUGUCCUCGAGAACACCCUUAGCAAUCCUGUGUAACACUAUUUUUAUGUUUUGUGGAGCCUGUGUGAUGGUAAAUUUAUGUGUCAUAGAGGUGAUCUGAGCGAAUUGCCGGGUGAGCUUUGUAAUCCUAAGUUAGUCCUCCAUCCUGGUGAUUUUGAGGUAUCCUGUAUGAGGGGCGUGACGUCCCUCUUAUGAUUUUGAAAAUCCUUAAUAAAACCUUGGGAUUAGUAUAUGGAGGAGAUAAAUUUAUUAUUACUGAUAGUCGGUCUGGGGUUCGUUAUAGCUUAUAUGAAUAGUAAGAAAGGGUUGCCGCAGUCUAGGAGGAAGAGAUGGACCGCACCUUAUCUUCAAGAGUUUGUUGAGGAUGCUGAUGGUGGAGUUUAUGUGGGAGAUGUUAUUCGAGAGCGUGAUGAUGGUCAUUUUGUUAGGUUUACUUGAAUCUACUUAGGAUCUACUUGGAAUUUACUUAUAAGGUAUCUCAAAUUUACUUGAAUUCUACUUGCAAGAUAACUUGAAUCUACUGUUGAGAUAUCUGUGAUCUACUUGUAAGGUAACUUAAAUUUGCUGGUGAGAUAUCUCAAAUCUACUGGUAAGAUAACUGUUGAGAUAACUGGGAUCUACUGGUGAGGUAACCUAAGUUUACUUGUGAGAUGUCUUAGGUUUACUUGUAAGAUAACUGGAAUCUACUUGUAAGGUAACUUAAGUUUACUGGUGGGAUGUCUUAGGUUUACUUGCAAGGUAACUGAGAUCUACUGGUGAGGUAACUCAGAUCUACUGGUGAGAUGUCUUAGGUUUACUUGCAGAUAGCAGUUGCGGCCUGCUUGUAGAAACUUAUAUAGUCAUGCGGCGUUGUAGGUAGGUGGCUGCUGUUUGCUUGUAAAGAUUAUGCGGUCCCUGCUGGGAACUUUCCUUGAAUCUUGCGGUUUGUUUGUGGAAUUUGUGCGGUCUGCCUGUAAACUCUAACAGUUCCUCUCAUGAAAGACGAUUCGGUUCUAUUUGUAGGAAUAAGUUUAAACAUCAUGUAUAGUAUAGAUAGAGGAAUGUAUUUCAAGAGUUACUGUUGUGAUAAUAAGUAUGUGUUCCUCAAGAAUAGCAUCAGUAUUGCAGGAAGGACUUAUAACAUUGAGGUGGGAAAGUAUGAGGUGUCCUCCGGAAAACUAGGGCCUGUUUAUCCUUCACAGGUAAGAAGAUGUGUAAGUAAGUAUGUGGAAAAGUCUGGGAUAGAUAUGGUUGUUAGUGUGAUUGUUAAGAUUAAGAAGUUACUAAAUAGUGAAAACCUUAAGUACUACCCUAGUAUGAGAUUCUAUAUUGUAAGAGUUUGUAGUGCACUUGGAAUUGAGCCAAAUGAGCAGUUGCGGGAUUUGUA